rnacentral:rRNA from 1 species
CUACGGGCCGCUGCAGUGAGGAAUAUUGCACAAUGGGGGGAACCCUGAUGCAGCAACGCCGCGUGGAGGAUGACGCAUUUCGGUGUGUAAACUCCUUUUAUAUGUCAAGAAAAUGACGGUAGCUUAUGAAUAAGCACCGGCUAACUCCGUGCCAGCAGCCGCGGUAAUACGGAGGGUGCAAGCGUUACUCGGAAUCACUGGGCGUAAAGGACGCGUAGGCGGGUUGGAAAGUCAGGUGUGAAAUCCUACAGCUUAACUGUAGAACUGCACUUGAAACUUCUAAUCUAGAGUAUGGGAGGGGGAGAUGGAAUUAGUGGUGUAGGGGUAAAAUCCGUAGAUAUCACUAGGAAUACCUAAAGCGAAGGCGAUCUCCUGGAACAUUACUGACGCUGAGACGCGAAAGCGUGGGGAGCAAACAGGAUUAGAUACCCCUGUAGUC